UACGAAGGGGGCUAGCGUUGCUCGGAAUUACUGGGCGUAAAGGGCGCGUAGGCGGACAGUUUAGUCAGAGGUGAAAGCCCAGGGCUCAACCCUGGAAUUGCCUUUGAUACUGGCUGUCUUGAGUACGGGAGAGGUGUGUGGAACUCCGAGUGUAAAGGUGAAAUUCGUAGAUAUUCGGAAGAACACCAGUGGCGAAGGCGACACACUGGCCCGUUACUGACGCUGAGGCGCGAAAGCGUGGGGAGCAAACAGG
rnacentral:rRNA from 1 species